GAUGAACGCUGGCGGCGUGCCUAAUACAUGCAAGUCGAGCGAACAGACGAGGAGCCUGCCUCGCUGACGUUAGCGGCGGACGGGUGAGUAACAUGUGGAUAACCUACCUAUAAGACUGGGAUAACCUCGGGAAACCGGUGCCAAUACCGGCUUACAUACUGAACCUCAUGGUGCAAGAGUGAAAGACGGCUUUCUUUACAAUUAUAGAUGGUUCCGCGCCGGAUUAGCUAGUUGGUAAGGUAACGGCUUACCAAGGCAACGAUGCGUAGCCGACCUGAGAGGGUGAUCAGCCACACUGGAACUGAGACACGGUCCAGACUCCUACGGGAGGCAGCAGUGGGGAAUCUUCCGCAAUGGGCGAAAGCUUGACGGAGCAACGCCGCGUGAGUGAUGAAGGUCUUCGGAUCGUAAAACACUGUUGUUAGGGAAGAACAAGUGUGUAAGUAACUAUGCACGUCUUGACGGUACCUGAACAAAAAGCCACGGCUAACUACGUG
rnacentral:rRNA from 1 species